AGAGUUUGAUCAUGGCUCAGGACGAACGCUGGCGGCGUGCUUCAUACAUGCAAGUCGAACGAUAAGGCCCCUUCGGGGGUACAUAAGUGGCGGACGGGUGAGUAAUAUGUAGAGAAUCUGCCUUCAAGCGGGGGACAACAGAGGGAAACUUCUGCUAAUACCCCAUAUGAGCGUACCUGCGAUGGUAUUCUUGAAAGCUCCGGCGCUUGGAGAUGAGUCUGCAUCUGAUUAGCUAGUUGGGGGUGUAAUGGACCACCAAGGCGACGAUCAGUAGCUGGUUUGAGAGGAUGAUCAGCCACAAUGGGACUGAGACACGGCCCAUACUCC
rnacentral:rRNA from 1 species